AGUGUCAAAGACAGUCUCUGCAGACAACAAGUUUGCACCUGAAUUGGAAGAGAAAUCUUUUCAGGAAAAGGACAUCAGCUCCAAAAUAUGAAACUGGAGGGGCUCCAUCCUCCUGGACAAGGGGGCAAGAGAGGCACCCGUUGUGCUAGCUGUCUGAGAGACCACGAGCAUGUGAGUGCUACUUGUCACAACUUCAGCAUAAUUCUUGAGUUCAUUUUAUUAUUAUUUUGCAAAUGCCUGCUGAGCUCCUGGAAUACAGAGAAGACCACCUUGAUCACUUAGAGAAUGGGUUCCAAGAAGCUGCAUCAUCAAGCUAAGCUUCAGUCUGUUUUUCACGUGGGCCACAGAUACAGUACCUUGAACCAAAGACAUUUCAGAUCACACAUCUUUAGUCAAGCCUCUGAAUGUAUGUAAACUUCUCUGUGUGGCUCUUACAAUAGCCAAAUUCAACAUUUUACUCUGCCAGAAAAUGCCAGGUGUUAAUAGAGAAUAAUUUUAGGUACUUUCUUAACUGUACACCAGAUGAUGAUAACAAAUAUGAUAGUAUCAAACAAGUGUUAACUUGCCUCUAACCCAGCUUGCACAUGCAGUAGAUUCAAAAGGCCAUUCAUCCUAAGUGCUUGCCAUGUACUGUGCAGUGUAGAAUAGAUACUCCAGCAAAAACUUGUCCCUGGCGUAUCCAGGAAGUACUCUGGUUGAAAUUCCCCAAUGCCUAUAGGAAAAGCAAUGGAAAAAGCCUAUACUUAAUUUUUUGUGGUUAUGAUUUAAAGUGAAACACAUUAAGAAAUCCAAAGUUUUCUUUUACUCAUUAACCUUAGCAGAACCUUUCUGUUCUACUGUAGUCUAUAUUCUCAACCGUGCUCUCCUGCAUUUCCGAGUAGUGAAUCACAAUGACUGUAUUAGAUUGUGAUAUCAGGAAGUCCCCCAUUUGGCUGAUUUGCUGGAGUUAGCCAUAGUCAAACUGGUCCAGUAUCUCCCUCUACAUAUACCUUCUGUCUAAGCCACAGCUUCUAUGAAGGAGGUUGAGACGACGAGUGAACUUUAAACAGGUUGUGCAAUGCUCUUUCAAAUGAAUGUUUUAUAUAACAAUGCCACAAUUAAAGACUGUAUCUUUAUUUAAGAAAUACCUCGCUAAAGGGGUAUUUGUUAAUUACUCAUCUGAGAAACAUCACAAAAAAUAUUAAAAAUAAACCCAUGAAAUCAAUUAUUUAAAAAUAAAGAAAAACAAAUUCCUUCUCCUUUCAUCCCCACAAUAAAAGGAGUGGUUGAAGCUUUCUACUUCCUGUAAGGAUAGAUAAAACAUAGGUGUCUUCUACCCAAACUUCUUCACGUUUCUGGGUCCUGAGAUUUUCUUUCCCUCAGCAAAAUGAGACCUGAUUUUAUGGCUUCCCCAUUCUGCAUUACAUGUUUUAAGAAAGAACACUGGGGUAUUUCAGAAACUAUAGUGGAAUAAAGUCUUACAAAUCAC
ensembl:lncRNA